GACGAACGCUGGCGGCGUGCCUAAUACAUGCAAGUAGAACGCUGAAGGAGGAGCUUGCUCUUCUGGAUGAGUUGCGAACGGGUGAGUAACGCGUAGGUAACCUGCCUGGUAGCGGGGGAUAACUAUUGGAAACGAUAGCUAAUACCGCAUAACAGUAGAUGUUGCAUGACAUUUGCUUAAAAGGUGCAAUUGCAUCACUACCAGAUGGACCUGCGUUGUAUUAGCUAGUUGGUGGGGUAACGGCUCACCAAGGCGACGAUACAUAGCCGACCUGAGAGGGUGAUCGGCCACACUGGGACUGAGACACGGCCCAGACUCCUACGGGAGGCAGCAGUAGGGAAUCUUCGGCAAUGGACGGAAGUCUGACCGAGCAACGCCGCGUGAGUGAAGAAGGUUUUCGGAUCGUAAAGCUCUGUUGUAAGAGAAGAACGAGUGUGAGAGUGGAAAGUUCACACUGUGACGGUAUCUUACCAGAAAGAGACGGCUAACUACGUG
rnacentral:rRNA from 1 species